rnacentral:rRNA from 1 species
CUAACCUACGGAGGCAGCAGUGGGGAAUAUUGCACAAUGGGGGGAACCCUGAUGCAGCAAUGCCGCGUGGGUGAAGAAGCACUCCGGUGCGUAAAGCCCUGUCAGCAGGGAAGAAAAUGACAGUACCUGGACAAGAAGCCCCGGCUAACUACGUGCCAGCAGCCGCGGUAAUACGUAGGGGGCAAGCGUUAUCCGGAUUUACUGGGUGUAAAGGGAGCGUAGACGGUUACGCAAGUCUGGAGUGAAAGGCGGGGGCCCAACCCCCGGACUGCUUUGGAAACUGUAUAACUGGAGUGCAGGAGAGG